rnacentral:rRNA from 1 species
GACGAACGCUGGCGGCGUGCUUAACACAUGCAAGUCGAACGGAAAGGCCCCCAUCUUGGUGGGGGUGCUCGAGUGGCGAACGGGUGAGUAACACGUGGGUGAUCUGCCCUGUACUUCGGGAUAAGCUUGGGAAACUGGGUCUAAUACCGGAUAGGACCAUGGUUUAGUGUCUCAUGGUGGAAAGAUUAUUGUUUUGGUGCAGGAUGAGCUCGCGGCCUAUCAGCUUGUUGGUGGGGUAAUGGCCUACCAAGGCGUCGACGGGUAGCCGGCCUGAGAGGGUGGACGGCCACAUUGGGACUGGGAUACGGCCCAGACUCCUACGGGAGGCAGCAGUGGGGAAUAUUGCACAAUGGGCGCAAGCCUGAUGCAGCGACGCCGCGUGGGGGAUGACGGCCUUCGGGUUGUAAACUCCUUUCGUUAGGGACGAAGCCGCACUUUUUUUGGGUGUGGUGACGGUACCUUUGUUAAGAAGCACCGGCUAACUACGUG